CCUGCCCGGUGAGACGGCAGUUAAACGGCGGCGUUAGCGUGAUUGUCCAAAGGUAGCAAAUAAUSUGCCUUUUAACUGAUGGCUGGUAUGAAAGGUUAGACGUGGGAGUAGCUGUCUUCCAGGCACGUAUGGAACUUAUCUUGUAGGUGAACAGACCUUUUUUUGACUUCGGGACGGGUAGACCCCGAUGAACUUGAUAGCGGUGUGCGAUUUUUCGCGGAGGUUUUAUAAUUUACUCCGCGCUUUGUUGUGCCUUCUUCGGUUGGGAAAACCGGGGGAAUGAUGAAAUUCUGCUUGUUGUUUUGUUUGGGGAUAACUAUGGUGACCUUUGGGUGAGGGAAUUGGUGUAUGAUACUGYUGGAAAAAKAAAAGUUACCGCGGGGAUAACAGCACUGUCUCCUCGGAGAGAAUACAUUGCAGAGGGGGUUUGUGACCUCGAUUUUGGAUCAUUUGAUUCUGGGCGGUAAAGAGGCUGCUUGGAGG
rnacentral:rRNA from 1 species